CAGUGCCGCGGGAAUACGUAGGGUGCAAGCGUUAAUCGGAAUUACUGGGCGUAAAGCGUGCGCAGGCGGUUAUAUAAGACAGAUGUGAAAUCCCCGGGCUCAACCUGGGAACUGCAUUUGUGACUGUAUAGCUAGAGUACGGCAGAGGGGGAUGGAAUUCCGCGUGUAGCAGUGAAAUGCGUAGAUAUGCGGAGGAACACCGAUGGCGAAGGCAAUCCCCUGGGCCUGUACUGACGCUCAUGCACGAAAGCGUGGGGAGCAAACAGGAUUAGAUACCCCGGUAGUCCCUGUCUCUUAUACA
rnacentral:rRNA from 1 species